rnacentral:rRNA from 1 species
UGCUCCUACGGGGCGCAGCAGUGAGGAAUAUUGGUCAAUGGGCGGGAGCCUGAACCAGCCAAGUCGCGUGAGGGAAGACGGUCCUAUGGAUUGUAAACCUCUUUAGGCGGGGAGCAAUGCCGGGCACGCGUGUCCGGGGGGAGAGUACCCGCAGAAUAAGCAUCGGCUAACUCCGUGCCAGCAGCCGCGGUAAUACGGAGGAUGCGAGCGUUAUCCGGAUUUGUUGGGUUUAAAGGGUGCGUAGGCGGAUUUU